ACGUGGCGGCGUGCCUAAUACAUGCAAGUCGAACGAAACUUUCUUACACCGAAUGCUUGCAUUCACCGUAAGAAGUUGAGUGGCGGACGGGUGAGUAACACGUGGGUAACCUGCCUAAAAGAAGGGGAUAACACUUGGAAACAGGUGCUAAUACCGUAUAUCUCUAAGGAUCGCAUGAUCCUUAGAUGAAAGAUGGUUCUGCUAUCGCUUUUAGAUGGACCCGCGGCGUAUUAACUAGUUGGUGGGGUAACGGCCUACCAAGGUGAUGAUACGUAGCCGAACUGAGAGGUUGAUCGGCCACAUUGGGACUGAGACACGGCCCAAACUCCUACGGGAGGCAGCAGUAGGGAAUCUUCCACAAUGGACGCAAGUCUGAUGGAGCAACGCCGCGUGAGUGAAGAAGGUCUUCGGAUCGUAAAACUCUGUUGUUAGAGAAGAACACGAGUGAGAGUAACUGUUCAUUCGAUGACGGUAUCUAACCAGCAAGUCACGGCUAACUACGUGCCAGCAGCCGCGGUAAUACGUAGGUGGCAAGCGUUGUCCGGAUUUAUUGGGCGUAAAGGGAACGCAGGCGGUCUUUUAAGUCUGAUGUGAAAGCCUUCGGCUUAACCGGAGUAGUGCAUUGGAAACUGGAAGACUUGAGUGCAGAAGAGGAGAGUGGAACUCCAUGUGUAGCGGUGAAAUGCGUAGAUAUAUGGAAGAACACCAGUGGCGAAAGCGGCUCUCUGGUCUGUAACUGACGCUGAGGUUCGAAAGCGUGGGUAGCAACAGGAUA
rnacentral:rRNA from 2 species